rnacentral:rRNA from 1 species
UACGUAGGGUGCGAGCGUUGUCCGGAAUUAUUGGGCGUAAAGAGCUUGUAGGUGGUUUGUCGCGUCUGCUGUGAAAAUCCGGGGCUCAACCCCGGACUUGCAGUGGGUACGGGCAGACUAGAGUGUGGUAGGGGAGACUGGAAUUCCUGGUGUAGCGGUGAAAUGCGCAGGAUAUCAGGAGGAACACCGGUGGCGAAGGCGGGUCUCUGGGCCGAUACUGACGCUGAGGAGCGAAAGCGUGGGGAGCGAACAGG